rnacentral:rRNA from 1 species
CGCGGCCUAUCAGCUUGUUGGUGAGGUAACGGCUCACCAAGGCAAUGACGGGUAGCUGGUCUGAGAGGACGAUCAGCCACACUGGAACUGAGAUACGGUCCAGACUCCUACGGGAGGCAGCAGGAGGGAAUCUUGCGCAAUGGGCGAAAGCCUGACGCAGCGACGCCGCGUGGGGGAUGAAUGCCUUAGGGUUGUAAACCCCUUUCACGAGGGAAGAAACUGACGGUACCUCGAGAAGAAGCCCCGGCCAACUACGUGCCAGCAGCCGCGGUAAUACGUAGGGGGCGAGCGUUGUCCGGAUUUAUUGGGCGUAACGGGCUCGUAGGCGGCUUGGCAAGUCGGCCGUGAAAACCCAGGGCUCAACUCUGGGACGCCGGUCGAUACUGCCAUGGCUAGGGUCCGGUAGAGGGGAAUGGAAUUCCCGGUGUAGCGGUGAAAUGCGCAGAUAUCGGGAGGAACACCAGUAGCGAAGGCGGUUCCCUGGGCCGGCACCGACGCUGAGGAGCGAAAGCGUGGGGAGCAAACAGGAUUAGAUACCCUGGUAGUCCACGCCGUAAACGUUGGGUACUAGGCGUGGCGUCUUAUCAACGGAUGCCGUGCUCGAAGCUAACGCGUUAAGUACCCCGCCUGGGGAGUACGG